UUGUGUAGCAUUAUAAUUUAA
rnacentral:piRNA from 1 species